rnacentral:rRNA from 1 species
UACGAAGGGGGCUAGCGUUGCUCGGAAUUACUGGGCGUAAAGGGCGCGUAGGCGGACAGUUUAGUUGGGGGUGAAAGCCCGGGGCUCAACCUCGGAGUUGCCUUCAAUACUGGCUGUCUUGAGUACGGGAGAGGUGUGUGGAACUCCGAGUGUAGAGGUGAAAUUCGUAGAUAUUCGGAAGAACACCAGUGGCGAAGGCGACACACUGGCCCGUUACUGACGCUGAGGCGCGAAAGCGUGGGGAGCAAACAGG